AAACCUACAACCACAAACCUGCCGACCCCAAGUCCUGGCCCUACCACAGAUCCACCUCCUACUGUGACUCCAACCCCUGCCUCAGCCUUACCCCUGCCAAGACCACUCCCUCUACCACAGACUCCUCCCUCCUCAGGUUCAGUCUCCUCCACCUGUGGUGUUGUGUCCGUACUUCAUCUCCACUGUCCUCAUGGUGUCUUUAUAUCGACACAGACCCACAGGAAAUCACCUGCCCGUCUCCAUGGUGAUGACCCCGCCCACCCAGGCUGAGCAGGAUUGGAUGAUGAUGAUGAUGAUGUCACCACAGAGCAUCACUUCUGACCUGAUCCAGUGUCUUCAGUGUUUUUCUUUCUUAAUCAAAGCUAAAGUAUUUGAGUCGUCAGCGAAGAGGAAUCAGAUUUCAGUCGUUGAUCAGUCAGAAACAGUCGAGGACCCAGAUCACUUCCCUGUGGAACUCCACAUGUUCUAGUUUGACUUGUAGAUGAAAGAUCUUGAACUCAGGACGUUGGACUCGAGCAGCAGCAACAGUCUGACUUUAAACUCUUGUAAUCUUCUGAUGGAAGCAGCUGUGUGAGAGCAGCUCAUGAUACAGAACCCAGAACAAAUGUAUUGUACAAAGCAACAUGUCUUUCUUUGUGUUGUUGUUGAUGUUUGUGUAGAUUUCAUUUGCUGCAGAGGAAUCUCAGAGGCUUUAAAACUCAGAUCAAAUAAAACUAAAGGUGAGGAUCUUC